UACGGGGGGGGCAAGCGUUGUUCGGAAUUACUGGGCGUAAAGGGCUCGUAGGUGGCCAACUAAGUCAUGCGUGAAAUCCCUCGGCUUAACCGGGGAACUGCGUCUGAUACUGGAUGGCUUGAGUUUGGGAGAGGGAUGCGGAAUUCCAGGUGUAGCGGUGAAAUGCGUAGAUAUCUGGAGGGACACCGGUGGCGAAGGCGGCAUCCUGGACCAAUACUGACACUGAGGAGCGAAAGCCAGGGGAGCAAACGGG
rnacentral:rRNA from 1 species